UGACCUACGGGAGGCAGCAGUGAGGAAUAUUGGUCAAUGGUCGGGAGACUGAACCAGCCAAGCCGCGUGAGGGAUGAAGGUACAGAGUAUCGUAAACCUCUUUUGUCAGGGAACAAAGGCGGGGACGUGUCCCCGGAUGAGUGUACCUGAAGAAAAAGCAUCGGCUAACUCCGUGCCAGCAGCCGCGGUAAUACGGAGGAUGCGAGCGUUAUCCGGAUUUAUUGGGUUUAAAGGGUGCGUAGGCGGAACAUUAAGUCAGCGGGAAAAUCGAGGGGCUCAACCCCUUUAAGCCGUUGAAACUGGUG
rnacentral:rRNA from 1 species